rnacentral:rRNA from 1 species
CCUACGGGGGGCUGCAGUAAGGAAUAUUGGGCAAUGGAGGCAACUCUGACCCAGCCAUGCCGCGUGCAGGAAGACGGCCCUACGGGUUGUAAACUGCUUUUAAUAGGGAGUAAAAUCAGCUACGUGUAGUUGAUUGCAAGUACCUAUAGAAUAAGCAUCGGCUAACUCCGUGCCAGCAGCCGCGGUAAUACGGAGGAUGCAAGCGUUAUCCGGAUUUAUUGGGUUUAAAGGGUGCGCAGGCGGACUAAUAAGUCAGUGGUGAAAUUUACAUGCUUAACAUGUAUCGUGCCAUUGAUACUGUUAGACUAGUAUACAAAUGACGUAGCUGGAAUGUGUUAUGUAGCGGUGAAAUGCAUAGAUAUAACACAGAACACCGAUCGUGAAGACAGGUUACGAAUUUGUUAUAGACGCUCAGGCACGAAAGCGUGGGGAUCAAACAGGAUUAGAUACCCCGGUAGUC